rnacentral:rRNA from 1 species
UUACAAGUACCCCGGAGGGAAAGUUGCAAAGCACUUUGAAGAGAGAGUUAAAGAGGACGUGAAACCGAUGAGGUGGAAACGGACAGAGCUGGCGUAUCUGGCCUGUGUUCAGCUGCGGGCUCGCUGGCGUCAGGGAUGCCGCUCUCCAGAUUGGGACGGUGGCCUGUCUGCUGGCGAGCACGCGGUGCAUUGGCAGGUGGAGUGCGCUGAGGCGCUCGGUGCAGCGGCAUGAGCUCGGCUCUGAGGCCAGCCCUUCGCGGGGUCUGGAACCCGGACCGGGGGAGUGCUGUUUGUGCUGGGUGUACGUGUGUGGGCAAUGGUAUCGGCGGGCCCGGGUGGGUGCCGAGCUGGCAGUCGGUGGCGGUCGCGUGCGACACGUGCCAGCGGUCAGUUCGGUCCUGCACGUGGCUCUCAUCCAGCCCGUCCUCGGUGUAAAAGCCGGUCAUCUGUCCGACCCGUCUUGAAACACGGACCAAGGAGUUUAGCGUGUGCGCGAGUCAUUGGGCGUUGAAAACCCAAAGGCGCAAUGAAAGUGAAGGUCUGCCUUGUGCAGCUGAUGUGCGAUCCUGGCCACCGCGGUGCGCCGGGCGCAGCAUAGUCCCGUCCCGAUUGCAUGCAAUGGGGCGGAGACAGAGCGUACGCGCUGAGACCCGAAAGAUGGUGAACUAUUCCUGAGCAGGAUGAAGCCAGAGGAAACUCUGGUGGAAGUCCGAAGCGAUUCUGACGUGCAAAUCGAUCGUCUGACUUGGGUAUAGGGGCGAAAGACUAAUCGAACCAUCUAGUAGCUGGUUUCUUUCCGAA